GGUGAACGCUGGCGGCGUGCCUAAUACAUGCAAGUCGAGCGAACAGACGAGGAGCUUGCUCCUCUGACGUUAGCGGCGGACGGGUGAGUAACACGUGGAUAACCUACCUAUAAGACUGGGAUAACUUCGGGAAACCGGAGCUAAUACCGGAUAAUAUAUUGAACCGCAUGGUUCAAUAGUGAAAGACGGUUUUGCCGUCACUUAUAGAUGGAUCCGCGCCGCAUUAGCUAGUUGGUAAGGUAACGGCUUACCAAGGCAACGAUGCGUAGCCGACCUGAGAGGGUGAUCGGCCACCCUGGAACUGAGACGCGGUCAAGACUCCUAAGGGAGGCAGCAGUAGGGAAUCUUCCGCAAUGGGCGAAAGCAUGACGGAGCAACGCCGCGUGAGUGAUGAAGGUCUUCGGAUCGUAAAACUCUGUUAUUAGGGAAGAACAAAUGUGUAAGUAACUAUGCACGUCUUGACGGUACCUAAUCAGAAAGCCACGGCUAACUACGUG
rnacentral:rRNA from 1 species